CCUACGGGUGGCAGCAGUGGGGAAUAUUGGACAAUGGGGGGAACCCUGAUCCAGCCAUGCCGCGUGUGUGAAGAAGGCCCUCGGGUUGUAAAGCACUUUCAGUGAGGAAGAACGCCUGGUGGUUAAUACCCAUCAGGAAAGACAUCACUCACAGAAGAAGCACCGGCUAACUCCGUGCCAGCAGCCGCGGUAAUACGGAGGGUGCGAGCGUUAAUCGGAAUUACUGGGCGUAAAGCGCGCGUAGGUGGCUUGAUAAGCCGGUUGUGAAAGCCCCGGGCUCAACCUGGGAACGGCAUCCGGAACUGUCAAGCUAGAGUGCAGGAGAGGAAGGUAGAAUUCCCGGUGUAGCGGUGAAAUGCGUAGAGAUUGGGAGGAAUACCAGUGGCGAAGGCGGCCUUCUGGACUGACACUGACACUGAGGUGCGAAAGCGUGGGUAGCAAACAGGAUUAGAUACCCGUGUAGUC
rnacentral:rRNA from 1 species